AUGCAUCGCGCCGCCGGCCUCGACCUGGACCUCGGGCUGGGGCUGGGGCUCGCCUCGCAGGGCAGCCUCACGUCCUCCACCACCAACGCCUCCUCUUCCCCGGCCUCGGGGUCGCACCCGCACGCGCACGCGCACUGGACCGGCACGCUCAGCUCCGUCGUCGGCGUGCGGAAGGAGGAGCCGGGGAUGAGGACGUCCACGUCGCCCGAGAGCGGCGUGAGCGGAGGCAUCAAGAGGGGCCUGGAGCGCACCGGCUCCGGCGUCUUCCCCGCCGCGGGCAGCGACGAGGACGAGGACGGCGGCGACCGCAAGAAGCUCAGGCUGUCCAAGGACCAGGCCGCCGUCCUCGAGGAGUGCUUCAAGAUGCACAGCACGCUCAACCCCAAGCAGAAGACGGCACUGGCGAACCGGCUGGGGCUCCGGCCGCGCCAGGUGGAGGUGUGGUUCCAGAACCGCCGCGCCCGCACCAAGCUCAAGCAGACGGAGGUGGACUGCGAGCACAUGAAGCGCUGGUGCGAGCACCUCGCCGAGCAGAACUGCCGCCUCGAGAAGGAGGUGGCCGAGCUCAGGGCGCUCAACGCCGCACCACCAGCGCACAGCGGCGCUGCGACGGGGCCCCUCACCACCCUCACCAUGUGCCUCUCCUGCAAGCGCGUCGCGUCGUCGUCCUCUGCCUCGGCCUGCAACGUGCCCAGCUUCUCCGCCAACUCCGGCAUCGGCAUGCCAAUGCCAACCCCAGUGGCACUGCCCGAACAUCGGCAGUUCUUCUGCAGGUUCAGGGACACCGAAGUGACGUACGGCGGCUCUUCGGGGCUCGUCAAGGUGGUCAAGCCGGCCAGAUAG
rnacentral:rRNA from 1 species